rnacentral:misc_RNA from 1 species
GAUGAAGAACGUAGCGAAAUGCGAUAAGUAAUGUGAAUUGCAGAAUUUAGUGAAUCAUCGAAUCUUUGAACGCACAUUGCGCCCCUUGGUAUUCCGAGGGGCAUGCCUGUUCGAGCGUCAUAACACCCCCUCCAGCUGCCUUUGUGUGGCUGCGGUGUUGGGGCACGUCGCGAUGCGGCGGCCCUUAAAGACAGUGGCGGUCCCGGCGUGGGCUCUACGCGUAGUCACUUGCUUCUCGCGACAGAGUGACGACGGUGGCUUGCCAGAACACCCCUCUUUUGCUCCAGUCACAUGGAUCACAGGUUGACCUCGAAUCAGGUAGGAAUACCCGCUGAACUUCAGCAUAUCAAUAAGCGGAGGA